GGGGGUGACUGGAUUCGACGGGGAUGUCGAAGUGAAGGCAGCAGGUGGAGUUUGCCGUACACUCCUAAAUCAGGCGGCAAAGCACGAUAAGUGCCAACGAACUAGCUUACGCUGCUCCCUCUCUAAACUAAGAAGGGAGCCGUUCGCCCAAGCCUCCGCCCGUAGGGCUCGGGACGAGCGUCGAACAUGCGGGCUGGCUCUUCAGACUGCCUCCGGCUGAGGAGCGAGAACUUCGGGGGCUCAGGCAUGGCGAUCCGGUCUUGCGGGAGCACCGUGCCCUAGAAUAAAGCGCAAGACUAUACCUGUAGAAGCCAAGCGGACGCAUCUUCGGACCCGGGUUCAAGUCCCGGCACCUCCACCA
rnacentral:tmRNA from 1 species